rnacentral:rRNA from 1 species
UACGUAGGGGGCAAGCGUUGUCCGGAAUCAUUGGGCGUAAAGAGCGUGUAGGCGGCUCGGUAAGUCCGCUCUGAAAGCCCGGGGCUCAACCCCGGGAGGCGGGCGGAUACUGUCGGGCUAGAGUCCGGAAGAGGCGAGUGGAAUUCCUGGUGUAGCGGUGAAAUGCGCAGAUAUCAGGAGGAACACCAAUAGCGUAGGCAGGCUUCUGGGUGCCACCUGACACUGCUAGGACGAAAGCGUGGGGAGCGAAUGGG